rnacentral:snoRNA from 1 species
AACUCACUAUAAUAAUGGUUUUCUGACAUUUGAAGUUUUCACCAGAAGGGUUUUCCUCAGUACCAAGUAAGCUUCCUUGGAUGUCUUGAGUU